AUGUCGCAUCUCCUGCAGAAACUUUUGCCUGAGACCCUGCCACGGGCAUGGUUAUUUCUCUUCCUCUUCUUCCUCGUCGUGUCUGUGCAGUACUGGAUCACCGAAAAGUUCGGUGCAAAAAGGAGGCAGCGCCUCCCGCCUUCACCGCCGGCGCUGCCCAUCAUCGGGCACCUCCACCUCAUCGGUUCCCUCCCCCACGUCUCCCUCCGCAGCCUAGCAAGGAAGCAUGGCCCCGACGUGAUGCUCCUUCACCUGGGCGCCGUGCCCAACCUCGUUGUGUCCUCCUCACGCGCUGCGGAGGCAGUACUGCGCACUCACGACCACGUCUUUGCAUCACGGCCCCACUCCGUAGUCUCUGACACCAUCAUGUAUGGCUCGGCUGACAUCGGCUUCGCCCCAUACGGUGAGUACUGGCGGCAAGCAAGGAAGCUCGUCACCACACACAUGCUGAGCGUUAAGAAGGUGCGGUCUUUCCGCGGCGCCGCUGCAGAGGAGGUCAGCAUGGCGAUGGCCAAGAUCAACCAGGCAGCAGCUGCCGAUGCUGCAGUAGACAUGAGCGAGCUGCUCCACACAUUCGCGAAUGACAUGGCAUGCCGCAUUGUGUCGGGGAAGUUCUUCUUGAAAGAUGGUCAAAGUAAGUUGUUCCGGGAACUCAUCAAGGAUACCUCACGGCUGCUAGGCGGGUUCAAUUUGGAGGAGUACUUCCCUGCAGUCGGUAGGGUAGGAGUGGUGAAGAAGGCGGUUUGUGCCAAGGCCGAAAGAGUGAGGAACAGAUGGGCCGAUCUGUUGGAGAAGGUGAUCGACGAUCGUGUGAGCAAGCGCAAUUCAACGUCUGAUCACAAGGAUGAUGAUUUUGUGGAUAUUAUGUUGUCUGUCCAACAUGAGUAUGAUCUCACAAGAGAGCACAUGAAAGCUCUCCUGACCGAUGUAUUUUUUGGUGCAAUAGACACAUCAGCUAACGCCCUCGAAUUCACCUUGGCUGAGCUCAUGAGGAAGCCACACCUGAUGGUGAAGCUACAAGAUGAGGUGAGGGGUAUUGUACCCCAAGGACAAGAAAUUAUCAGUGAGACCGACAUGAACAACAUGACGUACCUAAGAGCAGUCAUAAAAGAGUCGCUCCGGCUACAUCCUCUUGCUCCUCUCCUUGCUCCGCACCUUGCCAUGGCUGACUGCAUCAUCGAUGGAUACAUAGUUCCUGCUGGGACGCGUGUGGUCAUCAAUGCUUGGGCCAUUGGUAGGGAUCCGAGCUCCUGGGAGUAUGCGGAAGAGUUCAUUCCUGAAAGAUUUACAGAUGAAGGCAGCAGCAUGCAUGUCAACUUCAAGGGGAAUGAUUUCCAAUUCUUGCCGUUUGGAGCAGGACGGAGGAUGUGCCCUGGUAUGAACCUUGGGAUCGCAAAUGUGGAGCUUAUGUUGGCAAACCUUGUGUGCCAUUUUGACUGGCAACUUCCGCUUGGGGUUGAGAGAAAAGACAUUGAUAUGACAGAGGUGUUUGGGCUAACCGUUCGUCGGAAGGAGAAACUAUUGUUUAUUCCAAAAUCACGCAUGUAG
rnacentral:rRNA from 1 species